rnacentral:rRNA from 1 species
GAUGAACGCUGGCGGCGUGCUUAACACAUGCAAGUCGAACGGGAUCCAAGGGGUGCUUGCACUUUUUGGUGAGAGUGGCGAACGGGUGAGUAACACGUGAGUAACCUGUCCUUUUCUUUGGGAUAAGCAUUCGAAAGGGUGUUUAAUACCUUAUGUUCUGUCUGCCUCGCAUGGGGUGGGUGGGAAAGGCUUUGGCCGGAGUUGGGUGGGCUCGCGGUCUAUCAGCUUGUUGGUGGGGUGAUGGCUUACCAAGGCUUUGACGGGUAGCCGGCCUGAGAGGGUGGUCGGUCACAUUGGGACUGAGAUACGGCCCAGACUCCUGCGGGAGGCAGCAGUGGGGGAAAUUGCACAAUGGGCGAAAGCCUGAUGCAGCGACGCCGCGUGGGGGAUGAAGGCCUUCGGGUUGUAAACUUCUUUUGCUCUGAACAAGGCAUGCCAGUGGGUGUGUUGAGUGUAGGGGUUGAUUAGCGCCGGCUAACUACGUG